rnacentral:lncRNA from 1 species
AACUCCAAGUUUUCAAGCCUUCAGACUCCAUGACUUAUGCCUCUGGCUCUGCUGGUUCUCGGGCCUUUAGGCUCAGACUGAAUCACACCACCCACCUCCCUGGCUCUCCAGCUUGCAGACGGAGAUGGCAGGACUUCUCAGCUUCUACAGUCACGAGAGACCACGGAGCCUGGUGAGGGAGAUACACCUGCAAAGAGAACUUCAGUUCAGUAACAGCAACGGGCAUAGCCAGUGUGUUCACCAACUCAUGAGAGAUCACACUACCAACAUCGCCCGCUUGAUUUUCCCCAUCAACGAACAGCUUAUCCUGGAAACAAUCGUUUUAGUAGGCAUGAUGGCUCACGCCUAUAAUCCCAGAAUCUUGGGAGGCCGAGGCAGGAGGAUUGCUUGGGCCCAGGAGUUCGAGAUCAUCCUGAGCAAUAUGGUGAGGCCUUGUCUCUACAAGAAUAAAAAAAUAAGCUGGGCAUGGUGGCUCAUGCCUGUAUUCCCAGCUGCUCAGGGGUCUGAGAUGGGAGGAUUACUUGAGCCCAGGAAGUCAAGGCUGCAGUGA